CUGGGGCCUAGAGCAUAAGUACAUAUUUGUACCUCCCCUCCCCAUCCCCCCUUCCGCUUGGGAAAUAUCCAUUUGAGACAGUUCAUACCUCAAAAGAAUGGAGAUUACAGGUCCACCAGCCCAUUUAAAGUCCUGUAUUGAGCGGAGAUGGCAACGGUCCUCGUGUUAUUUAUCUGUGCCUUAUUUGUACAGUACUGUGCCAGUUCCACCUACUUAUGUUUUAAUACAGAGGAAUGAACCCACCAAUAUAUUAUUGGCAUAGAUUUGUUUGCAUUUUAAAAUGUUACUCUUCUGUUGGACAGAAAGCAGGAAAUUGUAAAAGCAGUGGUUGUUUGUAAAAUAGUGAGCACUGUGUCAAAUAUCGGCAUUAAAAUGCCUCCCAAAAAUUUUU